rnacentral:rRNA from 1 species
GUAACCGGCUCACCAAGGCGACGACGGGUAGCCGGCCUGAGAGGCGACCGGCCACACUGGGACUGAGACACGGCCCAGACUCCUACGGGAGGCAGCAGUGGGGAAUAUUGCACAAUGGGCGCAAGCCUGAUGCAGCGACGCCGCGUGAGGGAUGACGGCCUUCGGGUUGUAAACCUCUUUCAGCAGGGAAGAAGCGCAAGUGACGGUACCUGCAGAAGAAGCACCGGCCAACUACGUGCCAGCAGCCGCGGUAAUACGUAGGGUGCAAGCGUUGUCCGGAAUUAUUGGGCGUAAAGAGCUCGUAGGCGGUCUGUCGCGUCGGCUGUGAAAACUCGGGGCUCAACUCCGAGCCUGCAGUCGAUACGGGCAGACUAGAGUGCUGUAGGGGAGACUGGAAUUCCUGGUGUAGCGGUGAAAUGCGCAGAUAUCAGGAGGAACACCGGUGGCGAAGGCGGGUCUCUGGGCAACAACUGACGCUGAGGAGCGAAAGCGUGGGGAGCGAACAGGAUUAGAUACCCUGGUAGUCCACGCCGUAAACGGUGGGCACUAG